ACCCUCCAGUUCCCUUUCCCAUCGGAUCUCAACGCUGGUCUUAGUGGUUGUAAAGGAGGAAGAACACAUUGAAGUUGGCCUAACAGCAAUGUAGUCUGCUGUAGAUCAUCAGGCCAGAUCCAAACAUCU
ensembl:snoRNA Gm22304 small nucleolar RNA SNORA61